CAAUAGCGUAUAUUAAAGUUGUUGCAGUUAAGAAGCUCGUAGUUGGAUUUGUGGCGUACGGUGGGUUCCGGGCACUUGUUGUCUGAGUAACUUGCUGUUGCCAUCCUUGGGUGGAACCUGUGUGGCAUUAGGUUGUCGUGCAGGGGAUGCCCAUCAUUUACUGUGAAAAAAUUAGAGUGUUCAAAGCAGGCUUAUGCCGUUGAAUAUAUUAGCAUGGAAUAAUGAGAUAGGACUUUUUUGCUAUUUUGUUGGUUUGCGCAAAGAGGUAAUGAUUAAUAGGGACAGUUGGGGGUAUUCGUAUUCCAUUGUCAGAGGUGAAAUUCUUGGAUUUUUGGAAGACGAACUACUGCGAAAGCAUUUACCAAGGAUGUUUUCAUUAA
rnacentral:rRNA from 1 species